rnacentral:rRNA from 1 species
CCUACGGGUGGCAGCAGUGGGGAAUAUUGCACAAUGGGGGAAACCCUGAUGCAGCAACGCCGCGUGAGUGAAGAAGUAUUUCGGUAUGUAAAGCCCUAUCAGCAGGGAAGAGAAUGACGGUACCUGACUAAGAAGCACCGGCUAACUACGUGCCAGCAGCCGCGGUAAUACGUAGGGGGCGAGCGUUAUGCGGAUUUACUGGGGGUAAAGGGCGCGUAGGCGGUUCAGCAAGUCUGAAGUGAAAGCCCGUGGCUUAACCGCGGAACGGCUUUUGAAACUGUGGAACUGGAGUGCGGGAGAGGCAAGUGGAAUUCCUGGUGUAGCGGUGAAAUGCGUAGAUAUUAGGAGGAACACUAGUGGCGAAGGCGACUUGCUGGACAAUAACUGACGUUGAGGCGCGAAAGCGUGGGGAGCAAACAGGAUUAGAUACCCGAGUAGUC